UGUACCUGGCCAGGACACCCACUAUGCCCAGGAACUGCUGGCAGUUUUGGGAGGCCAUGCUGUGGACCCUACCCAAGUGGGAGCUUCAGUGCAACACCUUUGUGCAGACACUCCUAUCUACUGGGCCCGGUGGGCAGAGGGGCCCCAGAGACAGCGGCUGAUCUACCUCUGCAUUGACAUCUGCUUCCCGAGCAACAUCUGCGUGUCUGUCUGCUUUUAUUACCUCCCAGACUAAGACCCCCUACCAAGUCCUCCCGACCUUUGCUCCCACAGGUCAGCCAGCUGCCAGGUCACCAGUACCUUUGGAAGGCAGCUGACGGUAGGGAUGAAUAAACCCAGAUUGCCUGGC
rnacentral:lncRNA from 1 species